ACUUAUUUCAUUAUUGCUCUGUGUAUGUGUGACCUUAAUCAUUUGAGGUUGUGUGUUGAUUUCACCUCUGAAUAUUUCCUCUUAUAGGUCCAUCAUCCUUGCAUGCGCUACACACUCAAAAGCAUUGAUAAAUGCUGAAUUUAAAAGAAUCACUACUGUCUUAUGUUCCUGUGUCACCUGGACCUCCAAUCCAAAAACCUGAUGAAACUCUUCUAUCAGAAAGGAGGACAGCUAGCAAACAGACUUCAAACAAUGAAUGAUCAAAUGACAGAAGGCAUGGAUGAAGUCAGCAUCAGCGAGGUCAUUUGAAGACACCACUGUUGGGAUUUGUGCUCUCAAACAACAUCCUUCUUGUGAUGAAGAAGAGGAUCUUUGUAUAGUCCUGGAAGGCAUGAAGGUGUUGCAACAUCGUGCCAUGUUGUUUGAGCUGAUGUAUGCCUUAAACCUGAGCUAUCCUGAUCUCUGCUUUAUUUUUGAGGAAAUCCAAAAGAUUUUAAUGGAACUGCAUUGAGCGUAACUUUAACGAACCGUUUCUUUCAGUGAAAGGAUCAGAAAGACUGUGCUGCUCAUUUAUGUUCUUUUUAUUUAUCUGUUUUAAGUGUUUUUUCUUAUUAAAACAUUAACCGUUUGCUGCUCAGAGUUGAUUUUGGAAAUGGUUGUUGUAUUUUGUUUUUGUUGAAUCUUUGAUUAUCAGUUUAUACAAAUGCUGUAGCUCUGACUUUCUGAAGGAUUGAUAUUUUCCAGUUUGUAAAUCCAUUUAAAAAAUAAUAGUACUUACUGUUUUGCAUGUCUCUUUGGAAUGCAGUGUUUGUGCUUUAGCACUUCUAAAUCUACUGUGAUAGUAACUAUUUUAAACAUUUGGGUCAGUUUCACAGAUGGGGCUUUUUCUAGUCCCAGACUUUUGCAAUGCCUUAAUUUGAAAACAUAUUGCACUGACAUAUCUUGACAUAUAUCAGUGCCAUUGUUUUGUCUCAAGAUGUACUCCAGUGUUGUUUUUGUAAGGUAGGUUUGUUUGUAAACUUUUUUUUGUAAAAAAUAUCCUAAUAUAACUAGGGCCUAGUCAUGGAUUAAUCUACAACCUGUCUGGGAAAUUGCCCCUUUGU